rnacentral:rRNA from 1 species
UACGUAGGGUGCGAGCGUUGUCCGGAAUUACUGGGCGUAAAGAGCUCGUAGGUGGUUUGUCGCGUUGUUCGUGAAAACUCACAACUCAAUUGUGGGCGUGCGGGCGAUACGGGCAGACUGGAGUACUGCAGGGGAGACUGGAAUUCCUGGUGUAGCGGUGAAAUGCGCAGAUAUCAGGAGGAACACCGGUGGCGAAGGCAGGUCUCUGGGCCACUACUGACGCUGAGAAGCGAAAGCAUGGGGAGCGAACAGG